rnacentral:rRNA from 1 species
AGUGGCGACCGGGUGAGUAACACGUGACUAACCUACCUCCGAGUGGGGAAUAACUCCGGGAAACCGGGGCUAAUACCGCAUAACAUCGCAAGAUCAAUGCAGCAAUGCGCUUGGAGAGGGGGUCGCGGCUGAUUAGCUCGUUGGCGGGGUAACGGCCCACCAAGGCGAAGAUCGGUAUCCGGCCUGAGAGGGCGCACGGACACACUGGAACUGAAACACGGUCCAGACUCCUACGGGAGGCAGCAGUGGGGAAUUUUGCGCAAUGGGGGAAACCCUGACGCAGCAACGCCGCGCGGAGGAUGAAGCCCUUUGGGGCGUAAACUCCUUUCGACUCGGACGAUAAUGACGGUACGAGUGGAAGAAGCACCGGCUAACUCUGUGCCAGCAGCCGCGGUAAUACAGAGGGUGCGAGCGUUGUUCGGAAUUAUUGGGCGUAAAGGGCGCGUAGGCGGUGCGGUAAGUCACCUGUGAAAUCUCCCGGCUUANCUGGGAGUCUGCAGGCGAAACUACCGUGCUGGAGUGU